UACAGGGGGUGCAAACGUUGCUCGGAAUCAUUGGCGUAAAGCGCACGUAGGCGGUUCGUUAUGUCGGAUGUGAAAGCCCUUGGCUUAACCGAGGAAGUGCAUCCGAAACUGGCGAGCUAGAGUACGAAAGAGGAUCGCGGAAUUCCCGGUGUAGAGGUGAAAUUCGUAGAUAUUGGGAAGAACACCGGUGGCGAAGGCGGCUCACUGGCUCGUUUCUGACGCUCAGGCGCGACAGCGUGGGGAUCAAACAGG
rnacentral:rRNA from 1 species